rnacentral:rRNA from 1 species
UACUAGACAUCUCUGCUGCACAUACUUGAUCUCAUCUGAUUUUGGAAGUCAAGCAGGGUUGGACAUGAUUAGUUCUUAGAUGGCAAGGAAAGGGUGUGAGUAC